CCAGAAACUGGGUGACAGUAAUGGGACAGACCUACCUUCAGAGUCUCUAGAAGGAAACUACCCCACCCACAGCUGGAUUCAAGACUUCUGGCCUUCAAAACUGUAAGAGCUCACAACAGGUGCCCUAGAAGGAAGCUGAACACUUGUCACCAACGGCAGACUCUAUCCAGGUCCUGGGAACCUUCAACUUCAAAAUAGAAGAGCUACGUCUCGAGUGGCACCUCGCCCAAGUUUGGGGUCCUUGGCAGGGCUGCUCAGAGCCCUCUUCUACAGGAAAUCACAGUUAAUGAGCUUUCUUCCUGUCCUUCCUACCUUGAACACAGAUGUAACGUCUGGAACAACAGCAGCCCCUUGUGACCAUGAGGCCAAGAAAGUCUCAGAGACGCUGAAUCUGCUAUCAUGGAGCCUCCUGCCUUCAGAUUUCUUGUUAUGUGGGAAAAAUAAACCCCUCUUUGUUUAAGCCACCAUGAGGCAGGUUUUUUCGUUCCUUGCUGCUGA